rnacentral:rRNA from 1 species
UGGGGAAUAUUGCACAAUGGGGGAAACCCUGAUGCAGCGACGCCGCGUGAACGAAGAAGGUAUUCGUAUCGUAAAGUUCUGUCCUAUGGGAAGAUAAUGACAGUACCAUAGAAGAAAGCUCCGGCUAAAUACGUGCCAGCAGCCGCGGUAAUACGUAAGGUCCGAGCGUUGUCCGGAAUCAUUGGGCGUAAAGGGUACGUAGGCGGGUAAGCAAGUUAGAAGUGAAAUCCUGUAGCUCAACUACAGUAAGCUUUUAAAACUGCUCAUCUUGAGAUAUGGAAGGGAAAGUGGAAUUCCUAGUGUAGCGGUGAAAUGCGCAGAUAUUAGGAGGAAUACCGGUGGCUAAGGCGACUUUCUGGCCAUAAUCUGACGCUGAGGUACGAAAGCGUGGGUAGCAAACAGG